rnacentral:rRNA from 1 species
GACGAACGCUGGCGGCGUGCUUAACACAUGCAAGUCGAACGGAAAGGCCCUGCUUGCAGGGUACUCGAGUGGCGAACGGGUGAGUAACACGUGGGUGAUCUGCCCUGCACUUCGGGAUAAGCUUGGGAAACUGGGUCUAAUACCGGAUAGGACCGCACUUUAGUGUGUGUGGUGGAAAGUUUUUUCGGUGUAGGAUGAGCUCGCGGCCUAUCAGCUUGUUGGUGGGGUAAUGGCCUACCAAGGCGGCGACGGGUAGCCGGCCUGAGAGGGUGUACGGCCACAUUGGGACUGAGAUACGGCCCAGACUCCUACGGGAGGCAGCGGUGGGGAAUAUUGCACAAUGGGCGCAAGCCUGAUGCAGCGACGCCGCGUGGGGGAUGAAGGCCUUCGGGUUGUAAACUCCUUUCGCUAGGGACGAAGCUUUUUGUGACGGUACCUAGAUAAGAAGCACCGGCUAACUACGUG